GGACCCGCACAAGUAGUGGAGCAUGUGGUUUAAUUCGAAGAUACGCGCAGAACCUUACCAACACUUGACAUGUUCGUCGCGACUUUAAGAGAUUAAAGUUUUCGGUUCGGCCGGACGAAACACAGGUGCUGCAUGGCUGUCGUCAGCUCGUGUCGUGAGAUGUUGGGUUAAGUCCCGCAACGAGCGCAACCCUCACUUUUAGUUGCCAUCAUUUAGUUGGGCACUCUGAAAGAACUGCCAGUGAUAAGCUGGAGGAAGGUGGGGAUGACGUCAAGUCCUCAUGGCCCUUACGUGUUGGGCUACACACGUGCUACAAUGGUAUCUACAACAGGAAGCAAAACGGCGACGUUAAGCAAAUCCUUAAAAGAUACCUCAGUUCGGAUUGCACUCUGCAACUCGAGUGCAUGAAGCUGGAAUUACUAGUAAUCGUGGAUC
rnacentral:rRNA from 1 species